AGGCUGAAGAGGCAAAGUGACUUACAAAGGUAAGCCAGCUAAUCAGGGGUAAGAAUGAGACAGAACUCAAAUUGCCACUUCCUAGUUCAAGUCUUCACUGUGUUACAAAAUAAUUUUUUUAAUUCAAUAUAUUUAAUUAUGUUGGCAAACUUAAACCCUUGGGGAAUGAGCAUUCUUUUAAAAAUGGCAUUUGGGACCACCCACAAACUCUCCAUUUGGCAAAGCGCUUUUCUGCAGGACAGCUAAAUGCAGCCACUGUUUGUUCUGACAAGUUGGGUGGGUGAACCAGCAUGUCUCCGAGAGGCCAGUGUGUGUCCCCUAUGACGGAAACUGCAGUGCCCCGCUAAGGAAAGCCACUGCGCCCCUACCCUCAAGCAAAGCUCUUAACCAUGAGUGCUAUGCAUGUCAUAUUGAAGGGUAAGUAUCAACUAGCAGUUAUAUCUCUUCAGCAUCACCCAACAGAUCAAAUGUCUUGUUUCUAGGGGCACAAGGAAGCUUGGCUGGAUGCAGGCAACAUAAGAUUUGGAAACAGUAGAUUAUACUUGAGAAAGAGAAAAUAGGCCAGCAGAAGAUUAUGGGAAAAUUAGCUCAGUUGAUUUGCUGUGAACAUCUGCAGAAACUGUUAAUAGGUGCUGUGUCUAAUUAAAUCCACCAGACAUACAUGCCUGUGAUCUAUGGAACCAUGUUCUUCCCCAUGCUGUCAUACCUGUUGCUGGUAGGAAGACACUUGCAUUCUAUCAAUGUCAGUAGGGUACAAGGGAGAGAAAGUCAAAGCUGCAGUCUAAGUCACUUGUCCACAAGGGUAUCACCAGUAGGAGAGAUUCACAUUCAGGACUGAACUACACACUGAAAGGCAGGUAGUAGACUGAGACCUCCAUACUCUCAGCACCUUAUAAUAGACCUCUGGGUGGUGUAGAUUUGAGAAACAAAAGUGUGAACCAGAUUUCAAAGAGAGUAUUUAACGUGCUUCACUGAAGGUCAAAAGAUCUCAAUUUAUCUCAGCCUCCAUUUGUAUACAAAUAACUAUUGGGCAACUAUCAAAUCAGGUAUUCCUUUGGUUAUCCCACAUUUGGUCAUAUUAGUUUGUGUCUGUCUAGUCAUGCCCUGACCUGUUUGUUCCUUUGAUAAAGCUGUCUUUUGACUAAGACACAGAGUCUUCCCAAUUUAGUGAGGGUUUCUGUUCCACUCCUCUGCUGGGGCACCAGUGGGUACAAACUACCCCGAGGAAGCGGCACAGCUCAGACGAAUGACACAGGUGCUGCUGUCAGUCCCAGCUCCCCAUUAGCUACCGGUUGCCUCAGUUAUUCUAGCCUUGGUCUCCACUCGUGUAAGGUGGAGGUAACAACAGCAUCCCCCUCCCAGGGUACUUGUGAGGUUAAAGUGAAGCACCACCUGGGGAGUGCUUACCGUUGUGCCUGGCACAGUGGGAUUUCCCAUCUCGUCCACUCCCUGCCCAGUGAUACAAGCUGAUAAGCAGAGCUUUUGGAAGAGGAUUGGACCAUGGUUAGGGAGUAAGUCCUGUUUAGGGGAGGUGGGUCGCCAGGGUGUGAUCUGGAAGGUGGCACCUCCCGCCCUGGCUCCUCCCUUCCUCUCUACUUCCUGGCCGCCAUGAUGUGAGCAGCUUUCCUCUGCCCCACGCCUUCUACCAUGGAGCCAGCUAACUGCGGACUAAACACUGUGAGCCAAAGUAAGCCUCUCCUUUCUUACCUUUUGGGUGUUAGGUGUUGGGCCUCAGGAACAAGGAAAGUGACUAAGACAACCGGGAUGAACGAGAUCGUGACGGGAAACAUCUUGUGGUUUUAGCCAGAGUUAUGGACUCCAAGUCCAAAGAUAUUGUGGGUGGAAAUAGCCUUAUGGUGAAUUGCAGUAGCAAUGAUUCCAGAAUAGAGAAACCUUCCAUGUAGAAGAGACAAAGCUGUGUUAUUGGCAUUGGGUUUUCCACUGGAUCUCCUAAUAGCCACAUUUCUAUCAUUAUCUCUACACCUGUUUUUAUUUCAGCCAUGUUGAGGCCUGAACGGUGAUAAAACACAAUUGUUUAAGAACAAUGCCUCGUCCCUGUACUCAGUGUAUUUGAAUUUGUAUUGCCAACUGUCUUUAAGAUUUUUAUCCUUUCACUUCAUUUAAUCAGUGAGACUUGUAAAUAACACUUUUCGAUAUUUCAAAUGACUGUAAUGGUCCAUUUCCUGAGGCCUUUGGAAUAUUUGUGAUGUUGGAAGACGACCAGUUCUAAGUAAGCAUUCACAUUCAUCGACAUCUCCUCUGUAUCUUGCCUGAAAAAUGUCUUCUCAAAGUAACCACUGUGGAGGAAGUCUGUGUGGACAGAUGGGCUUCACACCCUCCCCUAAAGGUCGACCAGUUGCUGGGUGAGUUUGGCAGCAAGUCCCUUAGUCAAGGACCUUCCCAUAAAAAGAGCUUCAUCUUUAUUUUGCGUCUAGUGACAGGGAGAAGAGGGGCUUCCAUCAGAGAUGCCCCCACAAUUAGGCAUCCAAGGAAGUCAUUAGCAGUGAUAAUGGUGGCUGUGACAACAAUGUCUUACCCGUUUCAGAGGCUCUUCAACACGCUUUGUGGGAGUUCUUUACAAUUGAAACUUAAAACACCACAGAGUGGCAAAUGCAAAACACUUUUAACCAAGGAAAACAAAAGACACAUAAUUUGAUCUGGAGUCUUGGAUUUUGUACAUCAAAUGAACUUUCUGUUUUAGCGGAUCUCUGAAGGAUCUGAUUUUAGCAUUUUUUCGUGUUUGGUCCACUAAUAAGAACAACAGUAACUAUGUUUCAGGAAUGGCUCACAAACCUUUUAGUUAUGACAUAGUAUAUAUUCUUUUGUUGAUUCUACCAUCAGAAUGACACAAAAGAAAUAUAUUCCCCAUAGAUAACUGUUCGGCCGUGAUGUUGUAGCUUCAUUAUUCUGGGAGAAUUUGACUCCCAAAACACAGGAAUGCAGUCAUUUCCUGUCCCUGUUUUCACAGAGCCCUUGGACAGUACUUAUUUUAUGUUCAUAAGUAGAAAUAUUUGCUUCAUUGUGUUUUUGACACAGAACAGAGUAUGUUUUUGAACAGAGUGCCCAUUGGAUCGUCUCUACACAGUACAGUUCAAAAGAACUUUGUUCGGGGUCUGGCUAAUUUUCUUUCUCUCAUUUUCUUUUCUUCUUUUUCCCUGUCACUAUUGUUGAAGUGUCACAUGGGCAUCUCUCUCAUCUCCCAGAUUGAUGGUAUCAUCGAGGACUUCCCACAUAAACAAGAUAAACGAAAGGCUUCCACCGACAGGUGGGAAAACUUUGGACAUUGGAAACUUCUGUGCCCAGUGAAGUCAUGAUGACACUUGGAUGCCAUUGCUGCUACUAAGAUCACCUCCCUGUGGCUCAGGUUGUCAGUUGUCCUCACUCAACACAGAUCAUCCCAACCAAUGCCUGCUGUCAAGUAUGUAAAUUUGGGCUGGAUCAAAGAAUAAUUAUCUUGGGUCCCAACCUCACUCUACCUCCAAAGUAAGUCUCUCCUCCCAAGAAUCAAAAGUGUCCUCUGUAAGUUGGAAAGCCUUCCCGUUGAGUCAUAGAUGAGAGUACUUUCAUAUUUACACACUUCCACAGGCUAAAAGGGUCUAAUUUCUUCUCUUAACUCAAUGAUCCUUUUUCUAAAAAAGUGAACUAUUCCAAGUUUCUUUGAACAGUCCAGAAGGAAAGGAUAAGACAAUAAGGAGGAAUCAUCCCUUCCACACAUUAAUAAUGAGAUUUUUUAAGUUGCAGGAAACUCUUAUGUAGUACAGUCUAGAGUGCAAAAGAGUCAUGAAAGCAGAAGAGAUAGAGGCAACAGCUAGUAAAGCAAGGAUCGGAAGAUCACAGUGAUCAUUAGUACUCGGGACAACAAGACAGGAGAAUAAAGAGAGGGAUUCCUGGUACUUCUGGCUUUUAUGGAAACCAUCUGAAUUUGAAAGAUCUGACCCCGACCUACAUUCUUUUACAUGCAUAGCUGAUUACACUGGAUUUGAUCUUUGGUUCAGAGGUGGAUUGCCUCUGAAUAUCACAACAAUCCGUAAUAAUCUAUCUCAAUUUGUACGGCAUCUGUAGUUUGCAAAGUUAUCAUGUACGUUGUUUUGGGCGAUAGAUAAUAUUCUAAUUUCAUAAAAAAGUAAACUGAGGCACAAAACAAAUGGCAAAGACAGGACUCAAAGUCAAGCCUCUGGUUCCAAUACUUCAUCCCCCAACUGGUGGACGGAUUAAAUCCACCAACUGUGACCUGUGCCUUACACAAGUCUGCAGAAAGAUGUCAUGGUGACCAGUAUAUAUACUGAAUAUACAAAAGUGCAUAACACAGUUCUGGAUGACUUGCUAAAUGGAUCCUAAAAGCAUCUUCAAGGGUUUGGAAGGGCCACACAUUCCCUCAGUGCUUGAAUGAUGGGACACCACUGAUUGACAUAAGCCCAGCUCAGCCCUCAAGAAGAGUGGGGGGAAGACAAGCCAAGUCACAAUCCAAAUUAGUGCAGCUGUUCCUGCAGCAAGAGUAACACAUUGUGCCCUUUGACUAACCUUUCAAUGCCUCGUGUAGCUGGAGCUCUGAGGGCGGUGCUGAGUUGACAGCCUGGAACAUUGACCACCACACUGCGACUGACGUGUAAAUCACCCUCUGACUGGAGGUCCCAAAUCUGAGAACAGAAGUGUCAUCUUUGGACUUGGCCCAGCGUGCAUGCAUUCACCCACAAUUGUCCUGCUCCACCUUUAUGAUAAUGAUCAUAGGGUAGGUGGAGAUCACGUGCUUGGGGUUUGUUUCUAAGGCUGGCUGUUUCAUAAGCAUUCCUUUUAGCUGAAAUUUAACCACAAGAUUUUUGGCAGCGUAGAAAGACUGUAUCCAGCCAAUGUAUUGAAUAUUCUCAAUAAGCCAAGAAUCAGAGCUUGGUUUAGGCGUCAGCAGGACUUAUGGUAACUUUAUCUUCACCAAAAGCCUCAUCCCUGAUGGCUGUUGUUUAAGACAAAUAACUUGGUAGCCCUUCUGGGGCAUUGCUUCCCGGCACCACCAGCCUGUGUGACCAUCUGCAUAUGCUGCAUCUCUCCCCCCACUUUCCUGGCCUCUCUCUGUGGGAAGAGCACCUCCCACUUAUUAGACACCCUUCUCCCCAGGCUUCCUUGCAUUGGUCUCUAUCCUGACGCCAUUACCUACUCAUCAGGGUGAUGGUGGCCUCCAUGGCUACCAAGAUUCUAUGUCCUUUGAAGAAUUUCACUUUUACUAAUGAGUGGAAGAGGUGAAAUUAAAAGCCAGCA